rnacentral:rRNA from 1 species
UGGGGAAUUUUGGACAAUGGGGGAAACCCUGAUCCAGCCAUCCCGCGUGUGCGAUGAAGGCCUUCGGGUUGUAAAGCACUUUUGGCAGGAAAGAAACCUCAUGGGUUAAUACCCCGUGAAACUGACGGUACCUGCAGAAUAAGCACCGGCUAACUACGUGCCAGCAGCCGCGGUAAUACGUAGGGUGCAAGCGUUAAUCGGAAUUACUGGGCGUAAAGCGUGCGCAGGCGGUUCGGAAAGAAAGAUGUGAAAUCCCAGAGCUCAACUUUGGAACUGCAUUUUUAACUACCGGGCUAGAGUGUGUCAGAGGGAGGUGGAAUUCCGCGUGUAGCAGUGAAAUGCGUAGAUAUGCGGAGGAACACCGAUGGCGAAGGCAGCCUCCUGGGAUAACACUGACGCUCAUGCACGAAAGCGUGGGGAGCAAACAGG